rnacentral:tRNA from 1 species
UGGCUCAGACGGUAAAGUGUCUGCCUACAAUGCAGGAGACCCAGGUUCAAUUCCUGG